ensembl:lncRNA
GCGGUAGACCUGUGCUUGAGGUCAGCGUCAUUGUCAACGUCACUAACGCGUCGCGAACGCUGUACUGUGGCUGCUUCCGGCAUCAGGUGUGGACAUUGGAGAGAGUAAGCUCCGAUUGCAUGAUUGCCUUUCCCUCGCGUAUCGUUCGAAUCAGCUGUUCUGUUUCUCGUGCGGGUCUCGCACUGCUGCUGUGGCUGCCGUUGUUGUGUGUGACUAUGCAUACAUCAGAUGCGUCAUCGGAUCUGGGUGCCAAAGGCAGGGAGGCCGGCUCUAUUCCCUUCUAGUGGUGGUGGUGUUAUUCACAGUGUGCUGUGUCCAUAGGUGGAAAGUGGUGUUGGUGUGUGUGUGUGUGUGUGUGUUUGCGUGCACUGGUAAAAGGAAUGAUUUCUGACAGCCUGACCCUGCUGGUAAGCCCCAGUUAGCUGGUGUUCCUGUGACAUUCGUAGAGCUAAACUCUUAUGAUGCGCUGUGCUUUGGCUGAGGCCGAUAUGUUUUAAUGAUUGUUUUAAAGGGACUCUGAUUUAAUAAAGUAAAUUGUUUUGUAUUGUUGCCCAUGUCUCUGAGCGUUUAUUUGGUGGACGAACUUGCGUGUCCUUUAGAGGGACCAAUUUCUCUGGGUGGGAUUUCCAGAGUGGCGUAGUUUGGCAAAAUUAUCCUCUACAUACACCCGUGGGUUGCCACACUUGCUUCUCCCAGCAUAUGCAUCAGGCCUCAUGGAGUCUCUGAGAGAGGAAUACUGCAG